rnacentral:rRNA from 1 species
UACGUAGGGGGCAAGCGUUGUCCGGAAUUAUUGGGCGUAAAGAGCGCGUAGGCGGUCCGAUAAGUCGGCUGUGAAAGUCAGGGGCUCAACCCUUGAAAGCCGGCCGAUACUGUCGGACUAGAGUCCGGAAGAGGCGAGUGGAAUUCCUGGUGUAGCGGUGGAAUGCGCAGAUAUCAGGAGGAACACCAAUAGCGAAGGCAGCUCGCUGGGACGGUACUGACGCUAAGGCGCGAAAGCGUGGGGAGCGAACAGG